rnacentral:lncRNA from 1 species
CCAAACUCUGGUGGCCACAGGGGCCGCCGGAGCCCAGCAGUGAGGAGAGAGGGUGUUUAUUGUGUAUCCAAUGGCAGCCCCUUCCUUCAGCCAACUUAAGGAGCAGAGAGGUCUCUCCUCUCUCUCUUAGCAAUGGUUUUGACGUUUUAGUUCCUUUCAACCGCGAAGCAAACUGUAUCUGAAACCAGAUGAGCAGGAAGAAAGUGACGACAAGCAAGGCUUAAUUUUAAUGCAGAGCUCUUUUCUUCCCAAUGCAGAAGUCUUAUUAAAGAAACAGCAGGAUGCUGACAGGAAACUGUUUUCAUUUGAUGAUGUUCAUCUCUCUGACAACCAAGAACUUUGGAAGAAUCUCUCUCCUCAGGCACUUCCAUUUUUGUGUCCAGAUUGGCAGCCUUCCAAACUCGCCAGAGGCCUUGCAGAAUGAAACUCUCUGUGGAGCGUUAGAAGACAAAUUGGACAUAAGUCCAUUGGACAUCUGGGAGAAAGAAGAAAGGUCAAGGAUGCUCCAGCUUGGUCAGCCUCUCAGGCCUGGCAGCAGAAGCUGAGACUCCUUCCUGCAUAACUUGGGCUUGAAUUAAAGGCAUUUUUUAGUCUGGAA